AACGAACGCUGGCGGCAGGCUUAACACAUGCAAGUCGAGCGCCUCGCAAGAGGAGCGGCAGACGGGUGAGUAACGCGUGGGAACGUACCCUUAUCUUCGGAAUAGCUCUGGGAAACUGGAAGUAAUACCGAAUGUGCCCUUAGGGGGAAAGAUUUAUCGGAUAAGGAUCGGCCCGCGUUGGAUUAGCUAGUUGGUGGGGUAAAGGCCUACCAAGGCGACGAUCCAUAGCUGGUCUGAGAGGAUGAUCAGCCACAUUGGGACUGAGACACGGCCCAAACUCCUACGGGAGGCAGCAGUGGGGAAUAUUGGACAAUGGGCGCAAGCCUGAUCCAGCCAUGCCGCGUGAGUGAUGAAGGCCUUAGGGUUGUAAAGCUCUUUCACCGGAGAAGAUAAUGACGGUAUCCGGAGAAGAAGCCCCGGCUAACUUCGUA
rnacentral:rRNA from 1 species